CGCAGACCCUCUCCUGCAGAGGCAGAGGCCGCCUGCCACAGGCCACGUGGAGCAGGGUCCCACCAUGGCCCUGAGCAUCUUCACUGAGCAGUUCUGCAUCCCAAGGCCUCACAAGAAGCCCCCGAGCGCCCACAGUAUGAAGGAGGAGGCCUUCCUCCGACGCCGCUUCUCCCUGUGUCCGCCUUCUUCCACCCCUCAGAAAGUCGACCCCCGGAAGCUCACCCGGAACCUGCUCCUCAGCGGAGACAAUGAGCUCUACCCACUCAGCCCAGGGAAGGACAUGGAGCCCAACGGCCCGUCGCUGCCCAGGGAUGAAGGGCCCCCGACCCCAAGCUCUGCCACGAAGGUGCCACCGGCAGAGUACAGGUUGUGCAACGGGUCAGACAAAGAAUGUGUGUCCCCCACCGCCAGGGUCACCAAGAAGGAGACUCUCAAGGCACAGAAGGAGAACUACCGGCAGGAGAAGAAGCGCGCUACACGGCAGCUGCUCAGCGCUCUGACAGACCCCAGCGUGGUCAUCAUGGCCGACAGCCUGAAGAUCCGCGGCACCCUGAAGAGCUGGACCAAGCUGUGGUGUGUGCUGAAGCCGGGGGUGCUGCUCAUCUACAAGACGCCCAAGGUGGGCCAGUGGGUGGGCACGGUGCUGCUACACUGCUGUGAGCUCAUCGAGCGGCCCUCCAAGAAGGACGGCUUCUGCUUCAAGCUCUUCCACCCGCUGGAUCAGUCCGUCUGGGCCGUGAAGGGCCCCAAAGGUGAGAGCGUGGGCUCCAUCACACAGCCCCUGCCCAGCAGCUACCUGAUCUUCAGGGCCGCCUCCGAGUCAGAUGGUCGCUGCUGGCUAGAUGCCCUGGAGCUGGCCCUGCGCUGUUCUAGCCUGCUGAGACUGGGCUCCUGCAAGCCAGGCCGAGACGGGGAGCCAGGGACCUCGCCAGACGCAUCACCCUCAUUGCUCUGCGGGCUGCCAGCCUCAGCCACCAUCCACCCAGACCAAGACCUGUUCCCACUGAACGGGUCUUCCCUGGAGAACGACGCAUUCUCAGACAAGUCAGAGAGAGAGAACCCUGAGGAGUCAGAUGCCGAGACCCAGGACCAUAGCCGGAAGACAGAGAGUGGCAGCGACCAGUCAGAGACCCCUGGGGCCCCGGCGCGGAGAGGGACCACAUAUGUGGAGCAGGUCCGGGAGGAGCUGGGGGAGCUGGGCGAGGCGUCCCAGGUGGAGACAGUGUCAGAGGAGAACAAGAGUCUGAUGUGGACCCUGCUGAAGCAGCUACGGCCAGGCAUGGACCUGUCCCGCGUGGUGCUACCCACAUUCGUACUGGAGCCGCGCUCCUUCCUGAACAAGCUCUCCGACUACUUCUACCACGUAGAUCUGCUCUCCAGGGCUGCUGUGGAGGAGGAUGCCUACAGCCGCAUGAAGCUGGUGCUGCGGUGGUACCUGUCUGGCUUCUACAAGAAGCCCAAGGGAAUCAAGAAGCCGUACAACCCCAUCCUGGGGGAGACCUUCCGCUGCUGCUGGUUCCACCCCCAGACUGACAGCCGCACGUUCUACAUAGCAGAGCAGGUGUCCCACCACCCGCCCGUGUCUGCCUUCCACGUCAGCAACCGCAAGGACGGCUUCUGCAUCAGUGGCAGCAUCACAGCCAAGUCCAAGUUCUAUGGGAACUCGCUGUCAGCACUGCUGGAUGGCAAAGCCACGCUCACCUUCCUGAACCGAGCCGAGGAUUACACCCUUACCAUGCCCUAUGCCCACUGCAAAGGAAUCCUGUAUGGCACGAUGACCAUGGAGCUGGGUGGGAAGGUCACCAUCGAGUGCGCGAAGAACAACUUCCAGGCCGAGCUGGAAUUCAAACUCAAGCCCUUCUUCGGGGGUAGCACCAGCAUCAACCAGAUCUCGGGAAAGAUCACGUCCGGAGAGGAAGUCCUGGCGAGCCUCAGUGGCCACUGGGACAGGGACGUAUUUAUCAAGGAGGAAGGGAGUGGAAGCACUGCGCUUUUCUGGACCCCGAGCGGGGAGGUCCGCAGGCAGAGGCUGAGGCAGCACACGGUACCGCUGGAGGAGCAGAUGGAGCUGGAGUCCGAGAGGUGAGGCCUGUCAGCACCUAGGGACCCUGCUGACCACAGCCCGACAUGGCUGGGCAGGCAGGUCAGCAGGGCUGCAGUGCUGUCAGCAUGGCCCCAGGAUGUCCCUGGCAGGGAGGGCAGGCCUGGUGCACCCCUGGUGACA
rnacentral:sRNA from 1 species